GACGAACGCUGGCGGCGUGCUUAACACAUGCAAGUCGAACGGAGUGGCGAACGGGUGAGUAACACGUGGGUGACCUGCCCUGCACUUCGGGAUACGCCUGGGUAACUGGGGCUAAUACCGGAUAGUGUGGGAUGGGCCCGCGGCCUAUCAGCUUGUUGGUGGGGUAAUGGCCACCCAAGGCGGCGACGGGUAGCCGGCCUGGGAGGGUGGACGGCCACAUUGGGCCUGAGAGACGGCGCAGACUCCUACGGGGGGCAGCAGUGGGGAAUAUGGCACAAUGGGCGGAAGCCGGAUGCAGCGACGCCGCGUGCGGGAGGACGGCCUUCGGGUUGUAAACCGCUUUCAGCCAUGACGCGGUAGUGGCAGAAGAAGCACCGGCUAACUACGUGCCAGCAGCCGCGGUAAUAC
rnacentral:rRNA from 1 species